rnacentral:lncRNA from 1 species
AUAAAAUAAUAUUUUACUUCAUAUUAUAAAUAUAUAUAUACAUAAUUUUAUAAAGUACAAAUAAAUUACAAUCAGAAGAUAAAUUUAUUUCAUUGAUUUUCUCAUAACAGAUUUGCAAUAUUAUCUCUUAUUUGCGUCAAAUGUCCUCCAUCUGUUACCUCAACUGUUUCCACAUCAUCCAAAUCGGUAUGAAAAUCAG